CGUGGUGCCUGUGCGGCACCGGCUCGGUGUGUGAGGGGUGGGAGGUCGGUGUUUCUGCCUCUCCGUUACCGAUAGCCCCGGCUCGCUGCCGCGCUUUGUGUCUGCGGCAGUUGAAGGACCUGGGAGGGGAACUACGGAGAUUGGUAUAGCGGGGACGCAGCGCGGUGUCUGAGCGCCAGGCAGGGCCCGGGCGGCGGUCGCGCCUCCGGUAGCGCCAUGGCUAGCCGGUGCUAUGGGUGUGCGUCCAAGUUCUCUGUCUUCAAGAAAGAGUGUGGAUGCAAGAACUGUGGACGGUCGUUCUGCUCAGGCUGCCUUAGCUUCAGUGCUGCUGUUCCCCGCUGUGGAAGCACUCAGCAGAAGGUGUGCAAGCAGUGUCACGGAAAACUAACUGGAGAUGGAUCUCAAAGCAGUUCAGCAAAAUGGUCGCCACCAGAAAACUACAAAAAGCGUGUAGCAGCUUUUGAGGCUAAGCAAAACCAGCUGAAAGAACAACGGAAGGCAGCUGCAAAAACCCCAGGUCAAGCAGGUUCCAGAUACCAGGGGCUCUCAAAAGAGGAUAGAGCUAUUGCAGAGAGACUGGAGAGGCUCAGGGAGGAAAGGAGACCGAAGUCCAUCCCUACUCAGGCUGAGAUCGAAGCUAGGCUGGCUGCCCUGAAGGAGGACUGCCGGGGACCUGUUCCAUCCACACAGGAAAUGGAGGACCGGUUGGCUGUCCUGCAGGGGAGAGAUCCACCUUCCCAGGCUCCCAGACCUGUACCCCAGCCUCCUGAUACCAGAAGUCUGGUCCAGCAGACAGAUGACCUGUUAACUCAACUGUCUGAGGAAGUUGCCAUUGAUGAGCGUUACAGACCAAGAGUCCAACCUCAAGCUGUUGGUAGCCAAAGUUUGAAUGAUCUCAAUCGGGAAAGUGAAGAUUGUAAUUGCUAUGCAAAUCUGGACCCAAAACAGCUAGAGGAAGAGAAGAAUAAACUUCUGGCAGAAGCUGCUGCUGAGCUGUGGGAAGAGAACACUAGGCAGGAAAAGAUCCUACAAGUUGCCAAGAGACUGGCAGCGCUCAGAGGCGAGGACCCAGAGAAAGUUACACUGGAAACCUAUAACCUCCCUGACAGUGAUGAGGAAGUGGCUGAGGAGGAAGCCAUUCGCAGAGUGCUAAAACAGCUCACAGAGGAAGCAGCCCUGGAUGAAGCAAGUGGAUUCAAUAUUCCUCCAGAUCAGACCACCCAACCAGGACCCUUGCAACAGAGCGUGCAUAAGAAAGCAAAGCAAAAGAGCCAGACUCCAACCACCACAGCUCUUGCCAGGGCAGAUGACAGCGAUGAGGAUGAGUUACCCUGGUGCUGUAUCUGCAAUGAAGAUGCGACUUUGCGCUGCCAUGGCUGCGACGGAGACCUCUACUGCCAGCGCUGUUUUCGGGAAGGCCAUGAUGAGUUUGACCUGAAGGACCACCACACCUCCCGCUAUCAUCUUCCUUGCAAGUAGAAGUGAUCACACUCUUCAUGGGCAGAAAAGGAGAUGGAGAAUGGGAAAAGAGAGGAGUCGGCCAGAUGGGAAGAGUCCAAGUGGAUUUGCAGCCAAAAUGGGUGAUGUUUUGGACAGUUAAAGGAUGUGCUGUAAUCUGAGAGAGGCUUGGAGGGUGCGUGACUCUGUCCUCACAACUACAACCAGAGAAGGUUUUGCUGUGCAUGCUUGGGGAUAAAUGAGGACUGGAUGUGAGGAGGUGGAUACAAGUCUAUAAAUACAGAUGUGGGCGGAAAGAAGUCUUCAUGAGCUCCUGAGAACUGUAUUCAGUGCUCCUCAGCCAGUAUGGAAGUUCCUAGGAGAAACUAAAGGAGGGACAUCUUGUUCUGUUCCCCAGGUUAACAUGCCCUUUAAGAAUCAGGAAAAUGUACAGUUUAGCUCCCUGCUGUGUGCGUAGAUCUGGAAGGAGUGGAGACUUCAAACCACUGGUACAAAGUUCACAAACUUGGUGAUGUUUCUCAAUAACAGUAAGUUCUAAACAUAUUCUGAAGUGAUGUUGCUGAUCCUGGUUUUUGUGGGGAAAACAGACGUUUCCUUGUAACCAAAGCUGGGUGUUCCAUGUGGGCAAGGUCAUUUCUUCUGAGGAUUGGUGACUCUCCGGAGGCCUUUCAAUCGACUAAGCAGUUCUGUAAUGAAGUCCUACAAUGAGAAUUGGUUGAAGAAGGAUACCAUGUUAAUUCCAGUUUUCACCAGCCCAAAGAGUACUAUGACACAUGCAUUAUUCCCACAUUUGCCUUCAUGUUGAGCAGAAACCAGAAUUUUGACAUCUAUUGAGCAAACCUAUCUUUUAGCUUAGGAAAGGAGACCUUUUAAUGGAUGAAACAGGUCUAAAAGCCCCUCCACUUCCCCUGGCUUGCUCUGGAGAAGCCAUGUUUACUUUCUCCCCUGGAGCCAGCCUACCCCUCUUCAUCCCAGAUGCAUGCUUCUUCCACCUUGAGAUGACCUCAGGAUGCUGUUGUCCUCUGUUAGGUUCCACUGCUUCCUGUUGCCACCAUAACCUCCUGCCCACUUCUGCUGCCCUCCCGAUCUAGAGCAAAGCAAGCUGUCCCUCUUGUUGAGCCUGUAAAACUCCAUGUUGUGGAUUGCAAACCAUCCUGGAGCUGUGCCAGUGCUACAAGGAAGUGGCUGGCAGAGAAGAGCUGGAGCAAAACACACGUAGGACUAAUGAUAACCUGAAGCAGGGGUUGAGAACAGGCAGAGCAGAUAGAUGAGCAGUUAAUGGAGAUAAACCCUGACUACUUUGCUGACACAGCCAAGGACUAUGAACUAAACUGGACCAUCUGGUUAUUCCAAGCAGAAGUCAAUAUGACUAGUGCAAACUUUACCCUCUGCUUGACAAGUAAUAUCACCAUAAAGGAGUGUGCAGCCUUUCUUCACCCAAAGAGAUAGCUACAUAUCCAUGCAAUUAGGCAAGAUCACUGGAAGUAUUGCAGCUUGUUACCCUUGGUGCUGCGUGGAAGCCCACCUUCCUCACUUGGGUGAUCAGAGGUUGCCUGCCACAGCGUGCUCUGGUAGUAAAUGCUGAGGAUCAUUAUACAUACCUUUUCAGUCAGUCCCUUCAGAGGAAACCAGUUUGUUUCCUGUGUCUGCUUUCUGCAAAUAGGCUGUGUGGUCUUUCAAGGGGACUGGAUUCAAGAUCACCAAGGUGAAAGUACGUAUUUUUGCCGAUGGGGCAGCAGCAACUGUUUGUAGUUAGCAAGUACUAUGUUGUCUGUGAGACAUUUUCAUGGUUCAUGAAUCAGUAGAGCAAACUCUAUUCAGUUAUCUCUCUGGGAAUGUGGGCUUCUUGCCUGAGAUCCAAAAUUCUGACACCCUGAAAACUAUUUCUCUAUUGCCAGCCUUCUCUGCUGAACCCCUGCUAGGAGACCGACUGUAAUGACUGCUACAGCUGAGUUUAAUUUCAAUGGUAGUUGUGCAUCCGCCUCCUUUCCUGUAUGUUCAUUACUGUACAGCUAUAUAGGCUCAACAAGAUGUGGAGACUGAUAAAUGACAUCCAAGUCACAUGCCGUGCACGUGACUGAAGCAGUGAUGGGGGACCCCAUUUUGCACAAUGCAGUGCAGGCAAUUGCUGUGUGAUGUGUGCACUACACUGCAAAGGAUUUGGCUCCACUCCUUUGGGCAUUGUGACAGCUUGUGGGAUUUUUUUUAACUCUCUAACUCAAAACCCAUACUUGUAAAGUUCACAUGGGAAAAAAAACACAUGUAAAACUAACUUACAUGGCCACUGCUCAGCAAUUACCUGCCAAAUCCAAUCUCAGGACCAUCCUACGUUCUUGUCACUCGUAACACUAGAGUGGUUUAAGCUAAGAAUGCAUUCAGUUAAGAGUGUGCAAGAUGGUUAUGUGAGCUGUAUCACUGUCUAUGGCUUUUCUACACUGAGACCACGUAGCAACUCAGCCUGGUCAGCUCAGGAUGUCCAAAACAUGGAAUGAACUUUCUUUGGCUGUAAAGCAUAAUCCCUUAUUUGCUCCACUGCUCUGCCUGCAGCUCGCCCAUGUAAAUUUACAUGUAUUUUUCUAAGACAGCCAAAUAAAGUGGCAAACACCUCUCAUUAGGAAUUAAACAAAUAUGCAGCAUCAUGUUAGGCACAGUAAUAUCUUGGCUAUUCAGCUAAGCAGCAACAGACUCUUGCAGCACAGUAUAACAUACAUAUAUAUAUUGAUGGUGCUUCACUCACCUCUGUCGGGCUGGAGCACUCAUGGAGGAUUUCCUAAAAGCCAAGGAGGAGUCAUUUUAGUAUUUUAUGAGUUGACCUAUUCUCCCCUCCCUACAAAAAGGGUAUAUAAUCUUACUACGUUUGGCAGGCUAAGACACAGGGAAUCAGCAUGCAACGCUGUAUACACAUAUUCUGUAACCCACACACCACUGCUUCUCUUUAUGAAAGAAGUCCCUAACUUAAAAUCACCAAGUCCCUCUAUCUGACCUGUAGUUUUAAUUUUUGUUCUUCAUUAGGGACCUCCAGGAGAUCUUCGAGAUCAAUUUGUGGUUCAGGAGCUGCUGCCUCUGUUUCCUCUCUUAGCUAAAAAGAAAAAAAAAUACACAGUUAAUAAACCUUCAAACUUCUAAGAACUCUAGAGGCCAUCUUUGAAGAACUGAGCAGCCGAGAAGGAGCUAGUUACAAUAAAAUCAUGCUGCAAAGUUGAGGUUAAGAUAUAAAUCAUCUCAAAAUAAGGAGGUUCUUACAAAGAGGGCAUGGAUUCCAUCCCCUCUGUGGUAUCUGCAACAGCCACACAUCCUGAUGUUCACAUUCUUCAUCUUUUCCCACCUCAACACUUGAUACUGCUGCUCAGGGAUCACGGUCCAUCAUGAGAAGACUCUUUCAAGAAUAUCCAGCUGCAAUUGCCAACUGCAAUGCAGUGUAAGCCAGCCUGGGAGAACCCACAUCUAUGACGAGUGCGCACAAGGGUUCACCAAACAGAAAUCCAGCAGGCUUAAUCCUAGAGAUGCACAACUAAUACAAAGAGAUUUUAGGGUUUUAGGCUAUAUACAUUCACAUAGUUGAUAUUUGUACUAAGGCUUUUUGCAGUAAAAGAGAGAAAAACAAUUACGCUUU